GGAAUGAGGAAUGGAAAGCAAAAAAAGAGGCUACCAUGCCCCAACUGGACCUGCAAACUCACAGGACCGACUGAAGAAGAACUAGGAGGUGCAGAGGCCUCAGAAAUCCUGUUCCAGUGAUCAGGCAUUCUUUUGCCUUCCCCACUUCCUGCUCUGGCAAGAAGGAACAGGGAAAGGACUUGUCCUGAGGAUCACUGUGACUCCUCUCCAGUAUCUGUAUCCUAGGCUGGCUCCUCACACCAGGUGCUGGUCACAAACCAGAGGCAGAUUCAUGUUUUUUUUUUUCCUGAAACCCCAGGCUUCUUGACCAAGGCCUAGGGAGAGGCCACAAACACCUUCAAAUGGCCCAAGCAAAGCAGCCAGGAAAAGCCAGGCAACUUCCAACCACAGGUUGUGAGGCAGAAGCUUCCGGGGAAGAGGCACCUAGCAACACAAUCCAGUCUGACUCCUGGACUAAAGGAAUACUACUGGUGACCCUCAACCCUGAUCAAUUUCAAUAAAGGAUGUAGUGUCUCCCAA